rnacentral:lncRNA from 1 species
ACGUCGCCAUUGCUGGUCACACAUGAAAUGACGAAUGGGUCGUACGAGAAGGAGAGAUGAGAGUUGGGGUUUUUGGAAGAAAGGGUUAAGUUGAAAAGGGUUGAAAGAUGGGAAGAGGAGGAGUCGGCGGCGGUUUUGAGCUUCAAGCGGUGGAUACGGAGGGAAGCGAGGGUGAAUGAAGGGCGGUGAGGGCGGUAAAGGACGUAAAGGACGGUGCCAGUUAUGGCUGCUAAAAGGGCGAGCACGAGGACUAUGAGGAUGAUCCAGAAACAGCAGCAGCAACAGUAGUUGCGCCGUGGACGGUAGUUGCGACGUCUGUUAUGGGGCUGUGGACGGUAGGGUAGGCGGGCGGUGGGGUUAAUGAGGUGGGAUUUGGUAGUUCCGCCGUUGGUUGUGGUGGAG